rnacentral:rRNA from 1 species
UACGUAGGGGGCUAGCGUUGUCCGGAAUCAUUGGGCGUAAAGAGCGUGUAGGCGGUCCGGUAAGUCCGCUGUGAAAGUCGGGGGCUCAACCCUCGAAUGCCGGUGGAUACUGUCGGGCUAGAGUGCGGAAGAGGCGAGUGGAAUUCCUGGUGUAGCGGUGAAAUGCGCAGAUAUCAGGAGGAACACCUAUUGCGAAGGCAGCUCGCUGGGACGUAACUGACGCUGAGACGCGAAAGCGUGUGGAGCAAACAGG